UUUGGGCCUUGCUUUAUCUGAAUAAAUUGAUUUAAACACUUAUCCUUAAAGAAUCUGGCGGAAGUAUACAUUUGGGACAUUUCUAACCUAUGAAAAAUUUUAGCUUGGUAUAAUUCUUUUCUUUCUUUUCUGGAUUCUUGGAUUGAACUUGGGGGCACUCAACUACUGAGCCACAUCCCUAGCCCUAUUUUGUAUUUUAUUUAGAGACAGGAUCUCAUUGGGUUGCUUAGCACCUCGCUUUGGCUGAGGCUGGCUUUAAACUAGUGAUCCUCCUGCCUGAGCCUCCGGAACUGCUGGAAUUAUAGGUGUGCACCACUGCACCCGCCCAGCUAAUUAUUUCUUAUUUUGUUGUAGAACUAUUUUAAAUCAACAGAUGUUUUAAAGCCCUUUAAACAAUGCAUCAGUUUUUAAAUGAGGUCUUUAAAAGUCACAAGGACAAAUCAUUUACUUCUAUGUUCAUUAAAAUAUAAGCGUAGAUAUGAUGCCAAGCUCAAGCAAAACAAUAAGGAAAUUUUAAAGUCUUUGAUACUCCAAGUGUGUUCCUGUAAACCUUUAGAUGCCCCCCUCUAUUCCGACUUUACUCCACCAUAAGAUUUUGCAGACUCCACUUAAUCCCUGUUUUGCACUUUGAACCCACUUUGCCAUCCAGUCUCAGUGUGGCCUUCCCUAGACCUGGAUCCUCUGAGCUGGCGUUGAAGGCCUUUGGCUGGGCGGUGUCAAGUAUAAGUGUCCUUUUCUCUGUAGAAGUUUCCUGCUCACACUAAUCCAGCAGCUGACCUCUGUACUGUGAUUUCUUAACCACGUGUCAGAAUCAUGAAUAAAGUCAUUAUCUAGCAUCUUGGAAGCAUCUCCUUUCCUAAUCAGAAAGGAAAUAAGUAAGCAACUAUUUAUUUUAUCUAUUUCUUGGCAUUAUCUCUUUUUAUCUCUAGCCCAACUAUGAAUUUUGAGGAGACAUAUUAUUAUGAACGAUUUCACUCCGAAUG
rnacentral:lncRNA from 1 species